AACAAAGGGAUGUUGUGCCGCCGAACAUUCACAGUGAUGCUGGGGAGUCAGAUGAUGAAAUGAAGAGCCUGUCUUUGAUUUUAAGGACGAAGAGGAUGAAGAGGAGGAUGAAGAUGAUGACACUCAACUGACCGGGCUUGCUGC